GACGAACGCUGGCGGCGUGCCUAAUACAUGCAAGUAGAACGCUGAAGGAGGAGCUUGCUUCUCUGGAUGAGUUGCGAACGGGUGAGUAACGCGUAGGUAACCUGCCUGGUAGCGGGGGAUAACUAUUGGAAAUGAUAGCUAAUACCGCAUAAUAGUAGAUGUUGCAUGACAUUUGCUUAAAAGGUGCAAUUGCAUCACUACCAGAUGGACCUGCGUUGUAUUAGCUAGUUGGUGGGGUAACGGCUCACCAAGGCGACGAUACAUAGCCGACCUGAGAGGGGGCUCGGCCACACUGGGACUGGGACACGGCCCAGACUCCUACGGGAGGCAGCAGUAGGGAAUCUUCGGCAAUGGACGGAAGUCUGACCGAGCAACGCCGCGUGAGUGAAGAAGGUUGUCAGAUCGUAAAGCUCUGUUGUAAGAGAAGAACGAGUGUGAGAGUGGAAAGUUCACACUGUGACGGUAUCUUACCAGAAAGGGACGGCUAACUACGUG
rnacentral:rRNA from 1 species